rnacentral:rRNA from 1 species
UGGGAAAUAUUGGACAAUGGGCGAAAGCCUGAUCCAGCCAUGCCGCGUGUGUGAAGAAGGUCUUCGGAUUGUAAAGCACUUUAAGUUGGGAGGAAGGGCAGUAAGCGAAUACCUUGCUGUUUUGACGUUACCGACAGAAUAAGCACCGGCUAACUCUGUGCCAGCAGCCGCGGUAAUACAGAGGGUGCAAGCGUUAGUCGGAAUUACUGGGCGUAAAGCGCGCGUAGGUGGUUCGUUAAGUUGAAUGUGAAAGCCCCGGGCUCAACCUGGGAACUGCAUCCAAAACUGGCGAGCUAGAGUAGGGCAGAGGGUGGUGGAAUUUCCUGUGUAGCGGUGAAAUGCGUAGAUAUAGGAAGGAACACCAGUGGCGAAGGCGACCACCUGGGCUCAUACUGACACUGAGGUGCGAAAGCGUGGGGAGCAAACAGG